rnacentral:lncRNA from 1 species
CAUUGGGAAUGGAGGGAAAUAAAUGACUGGAUGGUCGCUGCUUUUUAAGUUUCAAAUUGACAUUCCAGACAAGCGGUGCCUGAGCCCGUGCCUGUCUUCAGAUCUUCACAGCACAGUUCCUGGGAAGGUGGAGCCACCAGCCUCUCCUUGACUCAUGCCCAAAGUUACGGAGGACCCAGCAACCAUCUCCUGCAGCCCCUGGAAACCUCUUGACUCUUCUGUGAUGUCCCCAGUGAUCCAGCAGCCCUGGCCUUCUUUUGAUGGCUUGAACAUUUGGUCUUCAUUGAACAGUUUGUAUAUUGGAAACUUGCCAGCCUCCAUCCACAUUCCAACCUCCGUCUGCAUCCCUCGAAUAACUGGGAGAUGAAACAGGAAGCUCUAUGACACACUUGAUCGAAUAUGACAGACACCGAAAAUCACGACUCAGCCCCCUCCAGCACCUCUACCUGUUGCCCGCCGAUCACAGCCGGAAUGCAGCUGAAAGAUUCCCUGGGGCCUGGUUCCAACCGCCCACUGUGGACUCUGAGGCCUCUGCAUUUGCGGGUGGUCUGCCUGUGA